UAACAGGGGCAUAACACUGAGAAAUUGGUACUAAUUCCCCAUAACAUUCGAAGAGGCAUCUCUUUGGGUUGAAAACUCCGGUGGUUAUGGAUGGGCAUGCGUUGUAUUAGCUAGUUGGUGAGGUAACGGCUCACCAAGGCGACGAUACAUAGGGGGACUGAGAGGUUAACCCCCCACAUUGGUACUGAGACACGGACCAAACUCCUACGGGAGGCAGCAGUGAGGAAUAUUGGUCAAUGGACGCAAGUCUGAACCAGCCAUGCCGCGUGCAGGAUGACGGCUCUAUGAGUUGUAAACUGCUUUUGUACGAGGGUAAACUCACCUACGUGUAGGUGACUGAAAGUAUCGUACGAAUAAGGAUCGGCUAACUCCGUGCCAGCAGCCGCGGUAAUACGGAGGAUUCAAGCGUUAUCCGGAUUUAUUGGGUUUAAAGGGUGCGUAGGCGGUUAGAUAAGUUAGAGGUGAAAUCCCGGGGCUUAACUCCGAAAUUGCCUCUAAUACUGUUUGACUAGAGAGUAGUUGCGGUAGGCGGAAUGUAUGGUGUAGCGGUGAAAUGCUUAGAGAUCAUACAGAACACCGAUUGCGAAGGCAGCUUACCAAACUAUAUCUGACGUUGAGGCACGAAAGCGUGGGG
rnacentral:rRNA from 1 species